GUUAAACGCGCCCCCCCAAUCCCAACCUGACCGCCACAGCACAAGCAGCGAGACAAGCAACAGAAAGAGCUGAAGUUGCGUGACGCUAAUGUACAGGUGAACCUAAUGUUGUGUCCAAUGUGUGCAAAAGUCACGUUGGAGACAAAUGACCAAAGGAGCUGCUGAGACUACUGUUGCCUACAAGAAAAAAAAUUAGAAUGGCGGUACGCUCAUGGGCCAAUACAAACAUGGAAGCCUCAUCAGUGCGUGAGCAGAAAACAAAACAGUAUUGACGGAAAAGCUCCCGACUUCCCGGGUCACUGUCUCUGACCCGGCCUGGACAUCUCCAGGAAGCCUCCUUGACAGUCUGUGAGGAUGAGAGUCAGGUUGGCGGGUGGCGGGUGGUCUUGAUCAUGAGAACGCGGGUGAUUAUUCCCAUCCAGUCCCAGGGAGUUCAACUCAGCUGCUCCCUUUCAUAGACACGUAUUGAAUAGAUCAGAUGCAAGCGCGCUUUCGCUAUUGCCUGCCAAAGUUCGCCUCGCCUGUAGUGGAAAUAGCAUCACUAAGCUACACUCCCAGGCCACAUUAUUAGGUACACCUACACAAUCCAAUGAGAUGAUAUAAAAAAAACACCAGCACAUUUACGUUAUUAGUAACUUUAUACAUUUUAAUAUGAACAGUAAUAUUGUUUUUAUGACAUAGUGAUGCCUUGAGAUACUAGUUUAAUUUGAUCCGUGACCAGGCUCGUCUCAGACUCAAAACACUCAAAUCAUCUUUCCCCAUCGAAAUGCAUAGAAAUGUUAUUAAUCCGUUCCAGACACAAUUUUUAAUCAGGAAAAUACCGAUCUAUAACAUUGUACAAUUGUACAUUGUAAUUUCAUCUGUGGCGUGUAGCACCACCACUCCCACUCGCCACUUUGGCGGGUUGUAUUGCAAUCAGGAAAAAUGUACAUCAGCGUCAUCAGCUUGUUGAGGUGUACCUAAUAAAGUAACCGCUGAUUACAAAUUGUUGGUGGUUCUUCAUGCCACGCAUUGAAAUGCACAGUAUCGUUAAAGCUAUUCUUGCACAAGCUUUGUACCGGUCAGCAUCUCCUAAAGGGGACAAAAAAGAAGAGUCCUUGGACUUGAUCCAAGGUCAAGCUCUUUUCAGUGUGUUGGCGUCGACUGGAAUAAUACGAAGACAAACAGUGACGAUGA